GCAUAGAUAUUUGAGCUCGGUGAAGGCCUCCAUGCCAUGGCGGGAGCCUUCCCGGCCGAGGCCCGAUUGUU
rnacentral:sRNA from 1 species